ensembl:lncRNA
AUGCUUGAAUUUUGUCGUUACUACCACCUAGCCCACUCUAGACAAGUUUUAUACGAUUACUAUUAUCAUCAUCCUAUGGACGAGCAAACUGAGGCUCUGGUAACUUGCCCAAGGUCGCACCUAGAACAUGGUGCAGCUGGAAUUUACUCAGGCCAUCUGGCCCCAGAGUACAUGUCUUUCACCAUCACACUACACCCCCUCACAGGGUGGAAGAAAGUGGUCUUCCUGCCUGUCUGUAAUGGCCUUUAUAGAUGUAGUGAGUAAACUGGGUUCCAAGGUUUUGGACUUUUUAAGACAAAAUUCCAAUGUUUAUUACCAAAAUUAAAAAAAAAAUUUGUAGCUGUAUAGGAUACAAGAUUGAAUGAGAAAUCUCUGAGUUCUACGGUACAAUUGGAUGCCAAGAUUGGGAGGCUUAAUUUUUCUUUGCAGAAAACAUAAAAUUAUUUUUACUUAACUGUGAUGAUGCAUCGGUAACCUCAGUUUACCAUUAAUGUCAUAAUUUAACGGUGAUAACUAGGAACAAAUGUUGAUGAAGCAUGAUAUUAACUAAUAGUUAAAAGAUAAUAUCCAAACCUUUCUUUCUGGUUGUUAAUAUUCUACCCCAAAGGUCAGCACAUUUGAAGACAUCCAUUUCCAGUUGUUUCUUCUUUUUUAAGACUAAUUCCUAGUGGUGCACAAAGAGUUUCUGAGAACAGUCAUAACGCCAAAGUGGCAGUGCAUUUGAGAAACAUAAUUUUUACCUCAUUGCUUUCCCCAAAAUAAAUAUCUCAGUCAUGGAAAACACUGUUUAUUUGAAAACGAUGAGACCUCAAAUAUGAAAUAUAGUUAACAAUGACAUUGACAUUGUUGCUAUCACUUUCCCCUAAACCACCCGUAAGUCUUGGACGCAUGUGCAUGCAGCACAGAAACAAAAACAAAAAACCAAAUGCAACAAUCCAUGAUUGUUCAAUGACUCCUGAUGCUGGGUGGACAGCCUGUUAAAAGAAUUUGUCUCCCACAGGAUCUCUGGAGUGAGCACAACGCCCAUCACCUGUUAGUGAUCACAGACAUUCAGUUAACCUGUCCUUCCAGUAAUCAGAGGCAACAAUUCAGACCCUGGACUUCUCAGAAUACAUGUACUGCUGAAUCUUGGCUUUAAAACAAGGUGGCCUGGCUAAAUUGGGGCAGGCCAGCAGCCCCUUCCUUACAUUUGGUCCCAUUUGACAGAAAGUCUAACUUAAAGUUAUAAAUGUGCUCAUCUAUUUACUCUGAGAUCAAUCUAAUUUGACAGGUAAUCCCUAACAUUUUCUCCUUUAGCCAGCUGAGAGGCAGCUGUGGUGGAGACACAUGACAUGGGUUCAAGCCCCUCGUGAGCCCUGUGGUAGUUGCCAAGUCUUUUCCUUUCUUUAAGCCUCAAUAUCCUCACCUGAUAGAGGGGGAGAAAUUGACCCAAUGAUGAUUAACAUCAUGUAGUUCUGCAUGUGAAUUCUAGAAAACUGUUGCUCAAGCGUAACAUGUGACACCAAAUAGACUAUCUCUUAAGAUGAAUACCUACCUCCUAAAUUUCCUCACCUGGUGUAAUCAUAUCUUCCAGCUUCCUCUAGGGUUUUAGAAUCCUUAGGUUCAAAAAAGUCAUGAAGGCCGUCUAGCAUAUUUGUAUUCUGAUGAGAGAACCUUCCUCCAAGCAGCUAUACUUGUUCAACUUGAAAAUCUCCAAGGAAAAGAGGCUUUUCCUUCUCUGUGGACUGAUUUUAUAUACAGACCAAGGAAUCUUUCCUUCCACUUGACUGAGCUCCCUUGCUAAAACAAAAUAAGACCAGCAUUUUUUCCCUUUUCUUGGAGGAUCCAAAGAAAGAUCAGCUGACCACCAAAGUCCAGAAAGCAAUGGUAUCAUACAGCUCAUUCCUGGGAUGUCGCAAAUAAUGCCAAACUCUGAUGUACUCAGACUCCACUUCUCAGAUUAUCAUUUACUAAACGUCUGGGUGACUCCUUUUAGUGGAAACAGGCAAAUAAUAAUAUAGACCAGACUGAGGAUUUACUUAGAAGGGUUGAAUCCCAUCCUAUGGUAUGUAUUCACAGCCACAUGGCAUAAAAGAAAGAGCAUGGAGUUAAGAGUGAAGCUUCCUGGGUUCUAGGCCCACAUGGGAGCCAACCUGUACAACCACAUCCUCUGGGUUUCAUUUUUCCUUGGAAGGUCAGAAUCAAAGCCUUUCAUGAUUCCAUUCUGACUAAGCUCUGAUCUACAGAGAGAAUUACUGCAGGCUGCAUAAUAUUGUUCCUCAAUAAGACAAGGUGGGGCGAUGAUUACUGGAUGUUUACUAAGGAAGAAGGGCGGAGUCAGUCAUUUUUAUUGGCUUUAACCUUACAGGGCUCUUGAAGAUUGUUUUAAUUGCCCAUUUUAGAGAAAAGGAAGUUAAGACUCUGAGAGCUUAAACACGUUUCCCAAGAUCACACUAUGACUCCUUAGUAAGGCCAGGUCUCAAUUCAGGUGCUCGCACCAGGGCUUUUACAUUGCAACAAGCUAGCAACAGGUUUGGGGAAGAGCCAUUUUUUAAAACCCAGAGAAACAAAAUCAUGGAUAUUUCCCCUAGUUUUCUGGUAACUAAUGCAGUA